rnacentral:rRNA from 1 species
UACGGGGGGAGCAAACGUUGUUCGGAAUUACUGGGCGUAAAGGGCUCGUAGGCGGCCAACUAAGUCAGACGUGAAAUCCCUCGGACUUAACCGGGGACUGCGUCUGAUACUGGAUGGCUCGAGUUUGGGAGAGGGAUGCGGAAUUCCGAAGGUGUAGCGGUGGAAAUGACGUAGAGAUCAGGAGGAACACCCGUGGCGAAAGCGGCUCUCUGGGACGGUACUGACGCUGAGACGCGAAAGCGUGGGGAGCGAACAGG